UUUGAGGGGCUCACUCUAUUUCAGCAGCAUCCAAGCUCGGAUGUGCACGUGGACCAGGCCCACAGAAAAUAUGACCCAGUCCUUCUCGUGGACGGCCCAGGUUUAUACGAAGUUCGGCCCGAUCCAUGUGUACGCAUCGCGCUCCCGUGAACGAGACGGACCCGGCGAAACGCGGCGGCUGCCAAGAUCCGCGCCGCGCAGCCUCGCCGCCGCGUUCGACGAGGGAGCUCGGGCACGCUCGAUCCGCGCGGCGCAGCCUCGCCGCCUAUAGAGAGUCUGAUUCGGAGAUGUGCGGGAUGCGGGCCAGCGGCGCGGCAGCGUCGUGGGCGGUGGGGCGGGCGCGCACCUCGACGACCCGGACGGCGCCGCCAUCUCGGUGCUCCUCGACUCCCGCUUCGACGGCGACAAGCUCGACGCCCUCAAGAACCUUCUCGCCCUCGUCUCUCGGGCCGUCGACGUCGCCCACCUCUCCCCGCAGCGAGUAGAAAAUGUUAUUUUUUGGAAGAUUCAAGGAUGUUCGAGGAGUGACCAAAAGCAUUGAAGACUUUGCCGAGCGAGGCAAGGAACCUACUCUAAUCAUGUUGAACCAUAUUUGCAUUGCACAUUUCGAAUUAUUUUCCAUGCAUAAAGUAUUAUUUUGCUAGUAUUGCUAUGCUAAGUAAGUUAGCUAGGGUUAAGCUAUGCCUUAUCUGCUUGAAAUUGACACCCCCUUUGACAUU